rnacentral:tRNA from 1 species
UCCCUGUUGGUUCAGAUGGUAAAGAAUCCUCCUGCCUGUGAUGCAGGAGACCCAGGUUCGAUCCCUGGGUCUGGAA